rnacentral:rRNA from 1 species
UACGUAGGUGGCAAGCGUUGUCCGGAUUUAUUGGGUUUAAAGGGUGCGUAGGCGGCCCUGUAAGUCAGUGCUGAAAUACCCCGGCUUAACCGGGGGGUGGCAUUGAUACUGCAGGGCUUGAGUACAGAUGAGGUAGGCGGAAUUGACGGUGUAGCGGUGAAAUGCAUAGAUAUCGUCAAGAACACCGAUAGCGAAGGCAGCUUACUGGGCUGUAACUGACGCUGAUGCACGAAAGUGUGGGGAUCAAACAGGA